GAGGCUAUAGCUCAGUGGUAAAGUAUGUGCUUAGCAUGCGCAAGGUCCUGGGUUCAAUCCCCAGUACCUCCA
rnacentral:tRNA from 1 species